UACAGAGGUGGCAAGCGUUGUUCGGAAUUACUGGGCGUAAAGCGCACGUAGGCGGACAUCUAAGUCGGGUGUGAAAUCCCCGGGCUCAACCUGGGAACUGCAUCCGAUACUGAAUGUCUAGAGUAUGAUAGAGGAAAGUGGAAUUCCCGGUGUAGCAGUGAAAUGCGUAGAUAUCGGGAGGAACACCAGUGGCGAAGGCGAGUCCCUGGACAAUUCCUGACGCUGAGACGCGAAAGCAUGGGGAGCAAACAGG
rnacentral:rRNA from 1 species